AUCCAGUUGACGAGUCCCAGAUAGGUCGAAACGCGCGUCCUGGAU
rnacentral:hammerhead_ribozyme from 1 species